rnacentral:rRNA from 1 species
AUUGAACGCUGGCGGCAGGCCUAACACAUGCAAGUCGAACGGUAACAGGGAGAAUCUUGCUUCUUUGCUGACUAGUGGCGGACGGGUGGGUAAUGUCUUGGAAACUGCCUGAUGGAGGGGGUUAACUACUGGAAACGGUAGCUAAUACCGCAUAACGUCGCAAUACCAAAGAGGGGGACCUUCGGGCCUCUUGCCAUCGGAUGUGCCCCGAUGGGAUUAGCUAGUAGGUGGUGUACCGGCUCACCUAGGCGCCGAUCCCUAGCUGGUCUGAGAGGAUGACCAGCCACACUGGAACUGAGACACGGUCCAGACUCCUACGGGAGGAAGCAGUGGGGACUAUUGCACAAUGGGGGAAAGCCGGAUGCAGCCAUGCCGCGUGUAUGAAGAAGGAGUUCGGGUUGUAAAGUACUUUAAGCGGGGAGGAAGGGAGUAAAGUUAAUACCUUAGGUCAUUGACGUUACCCGCAGAAGAAGCACCGGCUAACUCCGUG